CUCGUAGGCGGUUCGUCGCGUCCGGUGUGAAAGUCCAUCGCUUAACGGUGGAUACCGCGUCGGGUACGGGCGGGCUUGAGUGCGGUAGGGGAGACUGGAAUUCCCGGUGUAACGGUGGAAUGUGUAGAUAUCGGGAAGAACACCAAUGGCGAAGGCAGGUCUCUGGGCCGUCACUGACGCUGAGGAGCGAAAGCGUGGGGAGCGAACA
rnacentral:rRNA from 1 species